rnacentral:rRNA from 1 species
UUUUGGUUGAUGUUGGUGAUCCUGUACUGUCGAGAAAAGCCUCUAGCGAGUGUCAUUAUGGCCCGUACCCUAAACCGACACAGGUAGUCAGGUAGAGAAUACUAAGGCGAUCGGGUGAACUGUGGUUAAGGAACUCGGCAAAAUGCCCCCGUAACUUCGGGAGAAGGGGGACCAUUGUUGGUGACAGACUGAUGGAGCUGACGGUGGUCGCAGAGAAUAGAGGGAAGCGACUGUUUAUUAAAAACACAGGUCCGUGCGAAAACGUGGAAGUUGAUGUAUACGGACUGACGCCUGCCCGGUGCUGGAAGGUUAAGAGGACCUGUUAGAUCCCUUUGUGGGUCGAAGCGGAGAAUUUAAGCCCCAGUAAACGGCGGUG